AAAAAACCCUAAAAGUUUCUUAUUAUUUUCUUCAUUCCCUCAAUCUCCUUAUUUCCCAGCCGAAAGGCUAGUGUCCAGGCCUUCAACCCCCCCACCCGCUUGUAACCGGUGAAGCAAGGUCCUCCAACGGUGCGAGCACAAUGCACGGUGCGUGAUCAAGCACGACUCCGACGUGGCGUGGUGGAGCGGCGCACGUUGUGGGGUGAUGGCGUCCGGCACGCGGGGGAGGCGUGUGGCCUGCUGGAACGGCGCAAGAAAGGGUUGGGGUUUGUUUUGGGUUUAUAUUUUUUUUGUAUUUUAGGCUUAAAAAUUAGACUGUUUUGAUAUCUUUUUUGUUUAUUGUUUAUGGGUUUUGGGCGGGCAAUUUUGGCUCAUUACAUAUGAAAUAUAAAUUUUAAAUAUUUUUAAGCAAUAAAUAAUUAAUUAUUUAUAAAA